rnacentral:snoRNA from 1 species
AACCCAUGUUGAGGGCACCUUGUCAAUAGGUCCUUGUAUCUCUCCCAUGCAUCAUAAAGUGUCUCUAGAUCCAUCUUCACAAAAGAAGAGAUAUCAUUCCUCAACUU